ensembl:lncRNA
AAACCAUGUCCCUCAACACAACAUCCAAACGCUCUUUGAACACCACCAGGCUCGGUGACUCCACCACCUGUCUGGGCAGCCCAUUCCAGUGUCUGACCACCCUUUCAGAGAAGUAGUAUUUACUGACGUCCAGCCUGAAUCUUCCCUGGCGCAGCUUGAAGCCAUUCCCUCUAGUCCUAUCACUAGUCACACGAGAGAAGAGGCUGACCCCCAGCUCACUACAACCUCCCUUCAGGUAGUUAUAGAGAGCAAUAAGGUCUCCCCUGAGCCUGCUCUUCUCCAGACUGAACAAUCCCAGCUCCUUUAGCCGCUCCUCAUAAGGCCUGUGCUCCAGACCCCUCACCAGCUUUGUUGCCCAUCUCUGGACAGGCUCCAGGGCCUCGAUAUCUUUCUUGCAGUGAGGGGCCCGAAACUGGACACAGUACUCGAGGUGCGGCCUCUCCAAUGCCGAGUACAGGGAGACAAUUACUUCCCUGUUCCUGCUGGGCACACUAUUUCUGAUACAAGCCAGGAUGCCAUUGGCCUUCUUGGCCACCUGGGCACACUGCUGGCUCAUGUUCAGUCAAGCAUCAAUCAACACCCCCAGGCCCACUUCCUCUACACAGUCUUCCAGCCACUCUGCCCCAAGCCUGUAGCGUUGCCUGGGGUUGUUGUGGCCAAAGCGCAGGACCUGGCAUUUGGUCUUGUCGAACCUCAU